UUAACAUUACUGUACUAGAAGCCCCUCCUAACAUCAUUAUCCCUUCGGAUGUCCCAAAUAUCCUACUGGUAAAUUCUAUCCUAAUGCAAACUAUGGUGUCUGCCAGAUCUGUUUCUCACGUCUUAGCUGCUACACAUAUACCAGAAUUUCGGGGUUAUUCAGACAUGGGCAAUAUAUGGCCAGUUUAUUCAUCCAACCUACCAGUACUUUCUGGUUAUGGAGCAUCACGAUCAGAAGUUAAUUGUAAGAGCUUUGCGUCCAUUUGACAAGAUUGGACAUGUAAUCGGCAGGGGGGAGAAUUCUGUUAAAAGUGUAAGGAAGGCUAGUGGCGCACACGUUGAGAUUGAUGAUGCCAAGUCUGACCAGAUUAUUAAAAAAGGAAAAUGAGGCUGAUGAGAAUUUAAUGACAAGCUGGCAUCAUUUGGUCACUUGUUAUUAUCUUCAUGAGGACUAUGAAUCAGAUAAUCGAGAUAUGAAUGACUUUGAGUGUUGUUGGCUAGAGAGCAAUUUUGAAGCCUGCCCAGUAUAUUGGUGUUCAUGCAACAGCUGAAAGAUGAGGGGGGUUGCAUCAUGUUUGAAGUGCUUUUGGUGCCUCCUGAAGUCGUUGUUGAGGGUUUGGAAGUGUCAGAAUGCUUGGGAUGGGAAGCUGUCAUAAUUGAUGAAUGUCAGCACCCCAUAAUUUCAUCACAUCUUGGAGGGUAUAAGAUGCUUGUGGAUGAUUUAAGGCUUCUUCUUUUCAGUGAUCAGAUAAAGGAGAGUACAUUGGAGUUUGUUAAUCUGCUGUCAUUCCACGACUUUAACAAUGAUGUAAGUAGCAGUAAUGCUUUGAAAACUGACUACAAUGACAGAUGUGCACACCUUAUUUGGUAAGGCUGCUCAUUUGGUGGAUAACAUCAAUUUAAUUAGGCACUUCUAGAAGAUCCUCAUUGCCUGUGGUAAUUUAUGUAUUUGAUGUAUUGUUGUUGGAAUGAUUAUUGAGAUUAUUGUCAUGUAUCUAGUACAACAACGCAUGAAUAGAGAAUACUUGGACAGUUCAUACAUGGAUUCGCCCAGAUUUCGAAAA